rnacentral:rRNA from 1 species
GACGAACGCUGGCGGCGUGCUUAACACAUGCAAGUCGAACGGAAAGGCCCUGCUUUUGUGGGGUGCUCGAGUGGCGAACGGGUGAGUAACACGUGAGUAACCUGCCCUUGACUUUGGGAUAACUUCAGGAAACUGGGGCUAAUACCGGAUAGGAGCUCCUGCUGCAUGGUGGGGGUUGGAAAGUUUCGGCGGUUGGGGAUGGACUCGCGGCUUAUCAGCUUGUUGGUGGGGUAGUGGCUUACCAAGGCUUUGAUGGGUAGGCGGCCUGAGAGGGUGGCCAGCGACAUUGGGACUGCGGUACGGAGCAGAAGGCUACGGGGGGCAACAGUGGGGAAUAUUGCACAGUGGGCGGGAGCGUGAUGCAACAACGCUGGGUGCGGGAUGCCGGCCUUCGGGGUGUAAACCGCUGUCGCCUGUGACGAAGCGUUAGUGACGGUAAUGGGUAAAGAAGCACCGGCUAACUACGUG